ensembl:misc_RNA 7SK 7SK RNA
CGAUAUGAAGACAAUUUGGUUGCUGCAUCUAUCAUCUCAUUGUUUACCAAGAUUUAUGUGGUAAAUCUUGCUGGCAAAGACAGUUUUCCUCUUCUUUACAUGAUUCCUUACAUAUGUGUGUAACUCCAAAAGCUGUGCACUUGGUGGAAAAAUGGAGUCUUCUCAAAUAAACAGGACUAUUCUUCAAUCACUGGCAUUUCAGUAACUGUAAACCUUUGCUAGGACUUAAACAAAGAAACCUUUUUUAAAUGAGACCCCAAAGAGUGUCCUCAUACUUUUUUGUGAAGUAGGAAAAUACACAAAAGAAGCACAUGUUUAGCAGAAAAUGGACACUUGCCAGUCAUCAGAUUCA